rnacentral:rRNA from 1 species
CCCUUAGACGUUCUGGGCCGCACGCGCGCUACACUGACCAGUGCAACAAGCAUCCGUCCUUGGCCGACAGGCCCGGGCAAUCUUUGAACGCUGGUCGUGAUGGGGAUAGACUUUUGCAAUUUUUGGUCUUCAACGAGGAAUUCCUAGUAAACGCAAGUCAUCAACUUGCAUUGAUUACGUCCCUGCCCUUUGUACACACCGCCCGUCGCACCUACCGAUUGAGUGGUCCGGUGAAGUCUCGAGAUUGUGGCAAUCUCCUUUAUUGGAGUUUGACUGCGAGAACUUGCCUAAACCUUAUCACUUAGAGGAAGGUGAAGUCGUAACA